rnacentral:lncRNA from 1 species
AGAUGCACUUAGGGGAAGGGCUGCAGGCGGGGCCUGAGUGAAUCCUUGGAGGUAGCAGGAUCCUAUGGAUCUAGAUGGGCCUGGCACGCCGCGGUCUGCCAGCAGGCGGAUCGUCGCGAGCUGGCGGGAGACUGGUUUGGGUGACGUUCAAUGAGAUUUGGCGGGUUCUGAGGGAGGGUGGACUUACAGGAAGGUAGGGAGAGGGAGUUAAGUGUUUAUAAUUAGUAAUUUGAAGUGUGUGUGUGUGUGCGCGCGCGCGUUGGUACUGAACUUAUAGGCAGUUGUGAGCUACCAUGAUGUGGGUGCUGAUAAUGGAGUUUACAUUCUCUGCAAGUUUUAUGUGUUUUUAACUGAUGAGCCAUUUCUGUAUUCCCCCCUCCUUACUCUUACAUUUGUUUUCCUAUUUUAUGUGUUUUGUCUGCAUGUUUAUGGACUACAUGCGUGCAUUGCCCACAAAGGCCAGAAGAAGUUGUGGGAUUCCCUGGAACUGGAGCAACCAACAGUUUGUGUGCACCAUGUGGGUAAUGGGAAUCGAACCUGGGUCCUCUAUAAGACUGGCCAGUGCUCUUAACUACUGAGGUGCAUUUCUUUCGGAAUUGAUUCACAUAACUAUUAUGCUAUACUGUUUGAAGUAUUUAUUAGAAAAACAUCAGAAAGAGAUUUGGACCACUUUCAUUUACAUGAAGAAAUAUCUUAGGGUUUCUUUUCAGGUAUCUUUGAGUAUCUUCUGACACUAGAAGAUCCUGUAAACUCUACAGACUUCAACAGAAUUGAAGAACCUGGACAGAGCAGAGUUACCAACAAGAGAGCCCAGGGAUAGCAUUAACAUGGUGGUUACUCAAGACCUAACUCAGCCAGGGAGACAUACCAAGGCCUAUGAGGGAGUGGCAACAUUUGGAGGUGUGGCCUUGUUGGAAUAGGUGUGACCUGGUUGGAGUAGGUGUGUCACUGUGGGUGUGGGUAUGAGACCCUCACCCUAGUUGCCUGGAAGUCAGUCUUCCACUAGCAGCCUUUGGAUGAAGACAUAGAACUCUCAGCUCUUCCUGUGCCAUGCCUGCCUGGAUACUGCCAUGCUCCCACCGUGAUGGUAAUGGACUGAACCUCUGAACCUGUAAGCCAGCCCCAAUUAAAUGUUGUUUUUUAUAAGA